UAGAAGUUGUAGGUGCUGAGGAUACAGAGGUGAAAAGACCUGGACCUGUCCUCAAGGGACUCAGACUAGAGUGGAGACUGACAUGUAAACAAGAAAGGAUGGCACAGUGCAGCAAGGGCUAUAAUAAAGAUUCUUUACUGCCUGAGCCACCAGGAAAGCCCACAGAUAUAUGUACAUGAAGUUUCUUGUUACUAGUGAAGAAAGAAUUCAUAGGGCCUGGACUCAGUCUGAGGCCUGUCCGUGCUGAUCGUGCUCGGCCGCCUCUCCAGUGGACUCUGAACUCUGCUUAGUGCCUGUGGGAACGACAAUGGAAGGA